rnacentral:miRNA from 1 species
GGGACUCUCUGUGUGUGUGUGUGUGUGUGUGUGUGUGUGUGUGUGUGCGUGCGCGCGCGCGCACGCAUACACACACAC